rnacentral:rRNA from 1 species
GAUGAACGCUGGCGGCGUGCCUAAUACAUGCAAGUCGAGCGAACAGACGAGAGUGCUUGCACUCUCUGACGUUAGCGGCGGACGGGGGAGUAACACGUGGGUAACCUACUUAUAAGACUGGGAUAACUUCGGGAAACCGGAGCUAAUACCGGAUAAUAUUUAGCUUCGCAUGAAGCAAUAGUGAAAGACGGUUCUGCUGUCACUUAUAGAUGGACCCGCGGUGUAUUAGCUAGUUGGUGAGGUAACGGCUCACCAAGGCAACGAUACAUAGCCGACCUGAGAGGGUGAUCGGCCACACUGGGACUGAGACACGGCCCAGACUCCUACGGGAGGCAGCAGUAGGGAAUCUUCCGCAAUGGACGAAAGUCUGACGGAGCAAUGCCGCGUGAGUGAAGAAGGUUUUCGGAUCGUAAAACUCUGUUGUAAGGGAAGAACAAGUACGUUAGUAACUGAACGUACCUUGACGGUACCUUACCAGAAAGCCACGGCUAACUACGUG